GAUGUCGUCACGACACAGAGCCCCGCCCCCAGAGACCGCGUCUCCUCCCCUUUCCGCCAUUUUGGGAGGAUACCCGCCAGCACAGUUCAUUGUUUACAUUGGUAGUAGAGGAGGUUGUCGCACUAUUCUAGAAUGCCUGGAAAACACUGCUGUGUAAAAAACUGCUCUAGUGUCUCACACGAUUGUCGUGGAAACCGUAGGAACCAUUUGUUACAGUUUUUUCGUUUCCCUACAUGGAAAAAGCAUUUCAUUUGAACUGAAUGCCAUCACUGUUUGAUCCAGAGCUGCUACAUUGGACUUUUUCAUGAAGGAAAAAUUGCAACAAUAGAAUUUCUGCCUGUUAAUUGAAACAUUUCAAGGCCUUCGUGCAGAAAUUGUCUUUAAACUCUUCCUACUGUCUGCACCAUACCACACUAAUGGAAAAUUGGUGUGCACAUCAUACACGGAAAUGAAGCGGUCCUUCAUUGACAUUAAACCUGUUGGCACUAAUUAGUGCUGCACUUGAAUCACAAGACAAGCCAGAAUCCACAUGUCCUGGUGCUUGGUGACAAGGAAAACUCCUCCAAAGAUUGUAUUAUUUUAAACAGGGAGGCGAUGGAACAGGAGACGAUACUACAAGCAGUCAAUAUGUGUUUCAAACUUUUCUUUGUAUAUGACAUCUACUACCUAAAGCCCUCUGUUCCCAUUUGAGAGUUUUUGGAACACACAGUCUUUAAUAGUUUCUUCUGCACACUGUCUCCUCCUUAAAAACUUUGUGUUUAGUAAUCAGUAAAAAACUUUAUUUUAUUUAUCAUCAGUAGGUCCAGCAGCUAAUAUAUUGAUUUUAUGAUUAUUUUUUGUUCGAUUAUUAUAUGUAAUGUUCAUUUUAUUUGAAAGUCGUAACAUUUGCCAAGUGUGGUAACCCAUACUCUGAAUUGGUGCUCUGCAUUUAACCCGUCCAAGUGCACACACACAGCAGUGAGAAGUGAA